ACAACUGGGAUUACCUUAGUAACGGCGAGUGAAGCGGUAAAAGCUCAAAUUUGAAAUCUGGUACUUUCAGUGCCCGAGUUGUAAUUUGUAGAAUUUGUCUUUGAUUAGGUCCUUGUCUAUGUUCCUUGGAACAGGACGUCAUAGAGGGUGAGAAUCCCGUUUGGCGAGGAUACCUUUUCUCUGUAAGACUUUUUCGAAGAGUCGAGUUGUUUGGGAAUGCAGCUCAAAGUGGGUGGUAAAUUCCAUCUAAAGCUAAAUAUUGGCGAGAGACCGAUAGCGAACAAGUACAGUGAUGGAAAGAUGAAAAGAACUUUGAAAAGAGAGUGAAAAAGUACGUGAAAUUGUUGAAAGGGAAGGGCAUUUGAUCAGACAUGGUGUUUUUUGCAUGCACUCGCCUCUCGUGGGCUUGGGCCUCUCAAAAAUUUCACUGGGCCAACAUCAAUUCUGGCAGAAGGAUAAAUCAUUAAGAAUGUAGCUACUUCGGUAGUGUUAUAGCUUUUUGGAAUACUGUUAGCCGGGAUUGAGGACUGCGCUUCGGCAAGGAUGUUGGCAUAAUGGUUAAAUGCCGCCCGUCUG
rnacentral:rRNA from 1 species